rnacentral:ncRNA from 5 species
GAAUUGACGGAAGGGCACCACCA